AAAUGCUACACUUCUUGGCAUCUUUGGCGACACUUCUCAGGGCUGGCUAGAAGACUAAAAUAUUGUAGUGACUGUUAAUUAUUAUUCGAACAGUAUUGUAUAUUCGAUCCUUCAAAUUAUUUCAUGUAUUCAGUUAGAAUUCAUGACUCAGUAUUACCAGUCUUGGGAGGUUGUUAUAAUUAUUUCCGUUGUUGAUUUCGAUUAUCUAUAUAAAACAAAUGGCUUGAUGUGUUAUUAGAAUCAGCUUACCUAGUCUUAGAGACUAAGUGCCAUCACGAUACCUGUGGUCCUAAAAAAUACAAUAGUGACUAAAUAAUAUAUGUGCAACUUCACAUCUCUUUUCAAGAAUAUCCAAAUGGUCCUAAAAAGACAACCUUAUCUGUUUCAACAAUAAUGUUAGAAUGAGCCCUAUUACAAAGGGUUUUCCAAUAGACACGUUUUUAACAUUCAAGUAAACAAAUUGUUCUUGUUAACGCACCUACUAUAGUUACAAAUUUUGGAGUCCAGUAAAUGCUCUAUAAAUAUCAGGACGAAGCAAAAGGGAGUAGAGCCAACUAAAAAGAUAUAAAGAGCGAGCAUCAUAUCAUAUAUAGCAAUACAAGAAAGAUGGUAAGUUAUUCUUCUGGUUGAUAUAUUCUUACUCUUUCUUUCUUGUGUUUACUUUCAUAAUUGAUGUUUGAAAAUUACGUAACAACUGAUCAAGUGUUAAUAUAUUGUAUUUAAUCAGCAAGGCCAGUGGAUAGCCGCAAGAGACCUUUCAAUUACAUGGGUGAACAAUCCUUAGUACUGGACAUGAAAAACUGUUAAUCCUAAGUCUGUCUCUCUCUAACUAUCUCUCUCUAAAUUUC
rnacentral:lncRNA from 1 species